rnacentral:rRNA from 1 species
AGUGAACGCUGGCGGUAGGCCUAACACAUGCAAGUCGAACGGCAGCACAGUAAGAGCUUGCUCUUACGGGUGGCGAGUGGCGGACGGGUGAGGAAUACAUCGGAAUCUACUUUUUCGUGGGGGAUAACGUAGGGAAACUUACGCUAAUACCGCAUACGACCUACGGGUGAAAGCAGGGGAUCUUCGGACCUUGCGCGAUUGAAUGAGCCGAUGUCGGAUUAGCUAGGUGGCGGGGUAAAGGCCCACCAAGGCGACGAUCCGUAGCUGGUCUGAGAGGAUGAUCAGCCACACUGGAACUGAGACACGGUCCAGACUCCUACGGGAGGCAGCAGUGGGGAAUAUUGGACAAUGGGCGCAAGCCUGAUCCAGCCAUACCGCGUGAGUGAAGAAGGCCUUCGGGUUGUAAAGCCCUUUUGUUGGGAAAGAAAAGCAGCAGGUUAAUACCCCGCUGUUCUGACGGUACCCAAAGAAUAAGCACCGGCUAACUUCGUG